CCCGUCGGGGAGAGAGUGUAAUAUGGC
rnacentral:piRNA from 1 species